AGUGAAACGGGAAGGCGCUUGCCAGUCGAGCGCGAACUGUCGCAGAGUGAACAUUGUCAGUUGCCGCGUGUGUGCUUGGUGAGUGUUGUGUGCGCGCGUAUUCGAAAGUAGCCAAAGUAAAGAAAGUAAGUAGCAAAGUCGCGUUGUGUGCCAUGUGCGACGGUAAACUUGGUUGACUGACGCGACUGCGACCCAGGUGAGAUGGAGUCGCGACGCGACUGGAGCGUCCUGCUGUGUGGUCUGUGCCUUCUGAGCAUGGCCUCCAGCGUUUAUUUCUGCUACAAAGAGUUUCUGCUGGAGAACAGAAUGGCUGUGCUGGAAGCUAGACUCCAGCAAAUCAUGGACCAACAGUCUGGUGGUGGUGGUGGUCCGGCGAUAGUAAUCGCCAGCGAUGCCACCCGACAAAAGCGAGAUGUUCUGCUACAGACUGAUCGCCGACUGCCCAGGGAAGCUGGAGACUGCAAUUGUCCACCAGGACCCCCUGGCCCCCCCGGUAAGAGGGGAAAACGAGGGAAGAAAGGAGAUCCAGGAGAAACGGGUCCUGUGGGACCGAUGGGACCUCCGGGCAAAAAUGGAUUCCCGGGAGUUAAAGGACCUAAGGGAGAUAGGGGUUAUAUGGGACCAAUAGGGUUGGACGGACCUAAGGGAGAUCCUGGUAGACCGGGCGAUAAAGGACAGAAAGGUGAACUUGGAAGUCCUGGCUUCGAUGUUUAUGCAGCUGUUAAGGGUCUUAAGCGUUCAGUAACCACACUGAGAGGUGGUACGUUGGGCUACGCUGAAAUAGUAGCCGUGAAGGGAGAACCAGGAGAGCCAGGACCCCCCGGUCCCCCCGGCCCCCAAGGACCCGAAGGACUUCCAGGACACGACGGUCGGCAAGGAAUUCCAGGAGAACCGGGAGCAGUGGGAGAGAAAGGACCUCCGGGUCCAGCAGGUCCUGUGGGGCCUCCAGGAGAGCCAGGAACGGCGGGAGUCAAGGGCGAUAGAGGCUACAUGGGUCGACCUGGUUAUCCAGGAAUUCCAGGAAUACGAGGAUCACCUGGUGACAAGGGCGAUAAAGGCGAGCGAGGCUUAACGACGACAUUAAAGGGAGAUCAGUUCCCCACAGGCAUCAUCGAAGGUCCACCUGGGCCCCCAGGACCUCCAGGCGAUCGAGGUGAGCAAGGGCUGAGAGGUCCCCCUGGAGGCAAUGGCGUGCCUGGAGUGGCAGGGCCUCAAGGACCUCCUGGAUUACCGGGUCAUUCGGGUCCAAAAGGAGAGAAAGGAGACUAUGGCGAUAUUGGACCGCCAGGCUUGAUGGGUCCUCCGGGUUUACCUGGACCUCCUGGCUACCCAGGACAGAAAGGGGAGAAAGGAGACAAGGGAGAAUCGAAAUACAAGAAACUCAGAAGACGACAGGGAGAUGGAACGUUUGAGGGAUUCAAGGGAGAGGCAAUAGUGGGUCCUCCCGGUCCACCAGGGCCCCCAGGAUCGGCGGGAUUACAAGGACCCCCUGGAAUUAAAGGAGACAGGGGGAUGGACGGUGCCAAAGGGGAGCCUGGUGAGAAAGGAUCGAAAGGAGACCCAGGGCCCAUGGGAUUACCUGGUCCAAUGGGUCUGAGGGGGGAGGCUGGAAGGCCUGGAGACUUUGGCAAACCGGGACAGACGGGACCUCCUGGAUUGGAUGGAAUGAAGGGUGGUCAAGGAGAACCUGGGAUGAAAGGAGAAAGAGGAGACCCUGGACUCCCAGGCACAGACGGGAUUCCAGGGUCCAAAAGGUGAAAAGGGAUUGAAAGGUGAACCUGGACCAAUCGGCAAACGAGGCAGAAAAGGGGACAAGGGAGACAAGGGGGAGCAGGGGGUCCCCGGCCUGGACGCCCCCUGUCCCAUUGGACCUGACGGCCUCCCCCUCCCAGGAUGUGGAUGGAGACCUCCCAAGGAGCUUUCUGAGCAUAGCACGACGACCACCUUGUCACCGGUCACCCCGGACGACUAUGACGAGGGGGGUGAUGAAGAGUAUGAGGACGAUUACACAAAUAACAAUUACCAAAGCUGAGACAGAACCCAGUGGUCAGGUGACUGAAUGUACAGGAUACAACGGAGUGCGUGGAAACAGUAUUUGUAAGUGUAUGACUGAGUGAAAUGAUGUGAUAUCUGCAUGAAUAGUGCACAGAGUCAACUCCCGACGUGACAGACAGCAGUGGGUGAUAUUAUGGGACAUCCGAACCCAAAACAACGUCCUCAGAGCGUGACAUGACCCCAAGUCUACUACUGUACAUAGGCUGACAGUGUAUCACGAACAAUAAUAAGAGAUACAGUACAAUUACUUGGUAAUAAUUAAUUUUUAAGCCUUCUUUCAACCAACUGACAAAUUUUGUUAAACGAAAUGCUAUGUAGUUUCCGAUUACAAUAUUUGUAGAUACUAACUUAUUGGUUGUUUCUAUGUCUGAGUUUUUUUUAUAAAUGUUCUCAAGUUUAUGAAAGUUACCGGAUUUGAGUUUUGUUUAAGAAUAGUGCUUCUUGAAGGGUGAACAUUGACUUGAAAUCAAUGUUUAUAUAAAAAAUAAUUUACAUCUGUAGGGUAGACUUUACAUCUGCUCAUAAUGCAAAGAAAUAGGAGAAUCCCCGUUUAUUGGGCGUAUUCAGGACUUGGUCUCUCUGUCAUUCAACUUGAUGGAAAACAAGAAAUCCAAGAAAAAACUGUGUAAAAUUUCCAUCAGAAUAGAAAUUAUUCAUCACAUGAAGUAACAUGAUUUAUGAUGAAUGACCAUCUUGAAUCCUCUAGAGUCUAGAGAGAUACAGAUCCAUCGAAUCCAUGUAGAGCCUCCUGUAACUCAGUAGUUGUGAAAAAAUGGACAGUCUAUACAUUUGAAAUAGGAUAGCUAUGAAUUUUCAAAUCUGAUACCAUUCACAAUGGAUUAUUUCAAUCUCAAAUUAUUACUGAAGUAUUUAGUAUUUUAGUAUACUAAAUUGUACAUUUUCUAGAUAAUGCUUGUUUUCCUUGUAAUUGAGAAUUAGAGAACUCUUGAAAUGAAAUAAGAGUUGAAAUGUGUACCACAUUUCGUUUUUCUAUGAUCCUUCAUAAUUACUAGCAAGUA
rnacentral:misc_RNA from 1 species